GUGAGCCAUUUUGCUUUUUCCAAUAUCAUUCAUCUGUAAAUACCAGCUAAUAAUUUGCUUCCUGUCCACAUUGCAGCUUUUGGGAAGGUUAACUGAGACCAUACAUGCAUAGAAGAUAUAAAACUAGGAGGUUAUGAUGUACUAAUGACAAUAAGCUGGUUCUCCAGAUGAGGUCUUAUAUUGUGCUGAUCCUGAAGAUGCUCCCAGACAGUCACCAUCUUGGUGUCUACUUCCCAGGAAUUGUGAGCUAAGAACCGUCUUUAAGUUGGCUUCGUGAUCAAACAAUACCUCACCAGGCAACAAGACCACAGUUCAGAGGAUGCUGCUGCUGACUUUCAGAGCACGUCUUUUAUCUUCUGUUAAAUCUUGCUGGCAUUGCCCUUACAGACACGCCCAGAGGUCUUCUGUACAACACCAGGUCUUGUCAAGUUGACGGUCAAGAUUAACUGCCAUAGCCAUCAAGUGCCACCGAAAGGAGGUAAAUCGGAGACUCCUCAAUGCUCAGAUCAGAAUAAUCAGCAGAGAAUAGGAAUGUAACAUCAAUAUAAAAGUGGGCAAAGGUUCUCUUUUGAGCAUAAGAGUAUGUUGGGUUGUACUAUGCUAAAAUCUAAGGAAGCAACGGUUGCAGAAUGCCUUGGGGACAAGGGGACAUGGGACAGGUUUUUCAUCAGUGAUUGUAAG